rnacentral:miRNA from 1 species
UGUGUGUGUGUGUGUGUAUGUAUAUAUAUAUUUAUAUAUAUAUAUAUAUACAUACACACACACACACACACA